UACGGAGGGUGCGAGCGUUGUCCGGAAUCACUGGGCUUAAAGGGUGCGUAGGCGGGCUCGCGAGUCAGGGGUGAAAUCCCACGGCCCAACCGUGGAAGUGCCUCUGAUACCGCGGGCCUCGAGGGGGAUAGGGGCGUGCGGAACUUCCGGUGGAGCGGUGAAAUGCGUAGAUAUCGGAAGGAACACCGGUGGCGAAAGCGGCGCGCUGGAUCCCUACUGACGCUGAGGCACGAAAGCCAGGGGAGCAAACGGG
rnacentral:rRNA from 1 species